rnacentral:rRNA from 1 species
AACGAACGCUGGCGGCAGGCUUAACACAUGCAAGUCGAACGAGAUCUUCGGAUCUAGUGGCAGACGGGGGAGGAACACGUGGGAACAUCCCUUACAGUUCGGAAUAACGUUGGGAAACUAACGCUAAUACCGGAUACGUCCUUCGGGAGAAAGAUUUAUGGCUGAAAGAUUGGCCCGCGUCUGAUUAGCUAGGUGGUGAGGUAAUGGCUCACCAAGGCUACGCUCAGUAGCUAAUCUGAGAGGAUGAUCAGCCACACUGGGACUGAGACACGGCCCAAACUCCUACGGGAGGCAGCAGUGGGGAAUAUUGGACAAUGGGCGCAAGCCUGAUCCAGCCAUGCCGCGUGAGUGAUGACGGCCUUCGGGUUGUAAAGCUCUUUUGUCCGGGAAGAUAAUGACUGUACCGGAAGAAUAAGCCCCGGCAAACUUCGUGCCAGCCGCCGCCGUAA